AGCGAGCGAGAGAGAGAGAGAGAGAGAGAGAGAGAGAGAGAGAGAGAGAGAGAGAGAGAGAGAGAGAGAAUAUUUGUCAAAACCGGUGAUUUUUAUGCUAACCAAUCAAUUUCUUUUCUCUAUUUAACAACAAUCCCUCCUUGAUCCCAAAGAAACCUAGCCAAACUUAACCUAACCCAACCUAACUUAAUCUAACCUUACCAAACCAAACUUUACCCAAUCCAAAAAUAAAUAUAAACUUAACCUAACCUAAGCUAACUUAACCCAACCAACCACCAUCCACGAGACACAUGUAGCUUGUAACGGCGAGGCGUGGAGGAGUAAAGACUUGUGGUAACCUUUCCCUUGUGAGUGUGACCGGUGCUAAGGGAUGGGGCGCCCUUUAUUGUACAUACCCUUGCUCACUCACUUCUGUUCAUUCUUGUACAGUCCCUCCCCCCCCUCUGUAGCUUUAACAGAAAACGAUACCCAUUUUCUCCUUUCAAUGGAGAACUGUGGUGUUUUGUACGUAUGCAUGUUUAUGUAUGUAUGUGUGUGUGUUUAUAUUUAAUUUAUAUCGUCUUUUUAUAUACGAGUACUACUAUGUGUGUUUUGAAAUAUAGUGAGGCCUGUAAGAGUUUAUACAAAUCAAAUGUGAUGUAAUAAAAAAAAUUAAAUAAUGUA